rnacentral:rRNA from 1 species
GAUGAACGCUGGCGGCGUGCCUAAUACAUGCAAGUCGAGCGAACAGACGCUUAUCUUGCUCCUCUGACGUUAGCGGCGGACGUGUGAGUAACACGUGGAUAACCUACCUAUAAGUCUGGUAUCACUUCGGGAAACCGGAGCUAAUACCGGAUAAUAUAUUGAACCGCAUUGUUCAAUAGUGAAAGACGGUUUUUCUGUCACUUCUAGAUGGAUCCGCGCCGCAUUAGCUAGUUGGUAAGGUAACCGCUUACCAAGGCAACGAUGCGUAGCCGACCUGAGAGGGUGAUAGGCGACAAGGGAAGGGAGACAGGGAAAAGAGUACUAAGGGAGGAAGCAGAAGGGAAGGUUAGGCAAAGGGGGAAAGGAGGACGGAGCAAGGCGGCGUGAGAGAUAAAGGUGUAGGGAUCGGAAAAAUCUGUUAUGAGGGAAAAACAAAAGGGGAAGGAAAAAAGGAGGGAUUGACGGUACAUAAUAAGAAAGCAACGGCUAACUACGUG